rnacentral:RNase_P_RNA from 1 species
AAGUGGGGGGAGGAAAGUCCGGGCAACAUAGAGUGCCACGCAAGUUAAUGGCUUGAUAUUCGUAAGGGUAUAGUAGUGUAACAGAGAAUAACCGCUACCUAGUGUCGCGAUGCUAGGGUGUAAGGGUGAAAAGGUGGGGUAAGAGCCCACCGCAGCGGUAGCAAUAUCGUCUGGCAGUACGCCUGGUGGGUUGCAAGACCGUGUAUACCGACAAUUAAGAGUUACUCGCUCGAUGUCGGGGGGUAGGUUGCUAGAGGUAGUGAGUGAUCACUAUCGUAGAUAAAUGAUGGAGGCUCCAAUUUAUUGGAGUACAGAACCCGGCUUAUAGG